GUCUCUAAAGCUAGACGUUCCGG
rnacentral:miRNA from 1 species